GACCUGCCUCAGACAUGGGAAGGGAUUCCUGUAUUUGCCCUUCUGUCUGACUUGAAGUCCAUGGCGGAUUCCCACUCCUUGGCCCAGGAUCCCAUCCUCCAGCCAUAGGCUUGCCUGGGUCAUUAGCAUUGGGAUGGACCUGAAAGGGUUUGGCUUCACACUGACAUAGAUUCAAACCCCAGCUCCUAUAAUCAUUAGCUUUGCAACUUUGACCGAGCCAUUUGGAGUGUUUAUACUUGUUGUUCAAGAAACAAUGCUGCUUGCUGAUUGUUAAGUGCUUCUGAAUUACUGCGCCUUACCUAUCUGCCUUAUAAGUGAAGAUAUUCAUGCCUGAGAGAUGAAAAGGAUCCGUUCCUAAGCAGUGUCAAGGGCAAGAUCGUGUGACAAAGAGAUUCAGAAGGCAGCCCAAUGCCAUGGUCAUGAGGAGAGAGCUGUGUCCUAGGAAGCACCACGACUGUGGGGGUGGAGCCAGGAGUCAGGAGCUCACAUCCAUGAACCAUGAGCUCACAUCCACGAACCAACUGGAAUAAACCAGCAACUAUUCAGCAGGUCACAGUACCUUCAGGGCAGAAGGCAGAAGAUGGAUCACCCAGCACACCAUGGAAGGGCAGCCCACCCUAACAGAGGAUUCCUGCAGUCUUAGCACUGAAGGACAAACCAGCCAAGCUAAGAGCAUCUUUCCCAGACCUUGGGCUUGCUUAAUUAUAAAGUGUUUUGGCAAAAUCAA